AUUGAACGCUGGCGGCAGGCCUAACACAUGCAAGUCGAACGAGUGGCGGACGGGUGCGUAAUUUCUGGGAAUCUGCCUGAUAGAGGGGGAUAACUACUGGAAACGGUAUCUAAUACCGCAUACCAUCGGAUGUGCCCAGAUGGGAUUAGCUAGUAGGUGGGGUAACGGCUCACCUAGGCGACGAUCCCUCGCUGGUCUGAGAGGAUGACCAGCCAAACUGGGACUGAGAAACGGACCAGAAUCCUACGGGAGGAAGCAGUGGGGAAGAUUGCACAAUGGGCGAAAGCCUGAUGCAGCCAUGCCGCGUGUAUGAAGAAGGCCUUCGGGUUGUAAAGUACUUUCAGCGGGGAGGCGUUACCCGCAGAAGAAGCACCGGCUAACUCCGUGCCAGCAGCCGCGGUAAUAC
rnacentral:rRNA from 1 species